rnacentral:rRNA from 1 species
AACGAACGCUGGCGGCAUGCCUAACACAUGCAACUCGAACGAGACCUUCGGGUCUAGUGGCGCAAGGGUGCGUAACGCGUGGGAACCUGCCCUUAGGUUCGGAAUAACUCCCCGAAAGGGGUGCUAAUACCGGAUAAUGUCUUCGGACCAAAGAUUUAUCGCCUUUGGAUGGGCCCGCGUUGGAUUAGCUAGUUGGUAGGGUAAAAGCCUACCAAGGCGACGAUCCAUAGCUGGUCUGAGAGGAUGAUCAGCCACACUGGGACUGAGACACGGCCCAGACUCCUACGGGAGGCAGCAGUGGGGAAUAUUGGACAAUGGGCGAAAGCCUGAUCCAGCAAUGCCGCGUGAGUGAUGAAGGCCAUAGGGUUGUAAAGCUCUUUUACCCGGGACGAUAAUGACAGUACCGGGAGAAUAAGCUCCGGCUGACUCCGUG